AUCUUCUUACUUGUUUAUGUAGAAAAUGAUAAAUAUUUCAACAAUUUAUUUUUUCAGCAAACGAAGCUCCACCUACAACUUUCAGAACAAGCGUUAGUAAUAAAACUCCGGUUAUAAAACAGUCAAACAAUGAAAACACAGCUGUCAUUGUGGUUGGUACAGUGUGUGGGUCAAUAAUAUUGAUUCUUUGUGUGAUAUUAUUUGGAGUUUUACAGAACAAGAACAAAACGUUAGGAUGUCUUCUAAUUAGAAACCGCAAUGACAGGUCAUUAGAUUAUGUAAACACGACACAGCAACAAAAUCCGUCGUUGUAUGAAGGAGUUGACCAUGCUUUAGAUGUACAUAACUAUGACCAACUAUCCAGGAGGGAACAUUUGUACAAUGAUGCCAACUUUAGUAAUAAUUAACGAAAAGACAAUCUGAUAUGCAUGGUACAUAUGAUAAAAAUUUAAAGUUGCAAAAUACGAAAUGUAUUCUUCAUUAAUUCUCUUUUUAACAAAUAAUUCUUUAUAUCAAUAAACCCUGACAAUAUUGAUAAACUUGCAGAUUUUUAGUAUUUUCUUUUCUAAAUAUAGACAUUUAAAAAACGAAUUUUACAUCAUUUCAUGUCUGUAAAUAGCAGGUAUAGAAAUUUCUUAAGCAAGUGCUUAAUUUCGGCAAGUUGUUGUUUCUUUCAGACAAGUAAUAUGUGAUAGGAAUAGCUAAAACAAGUACUAUCUUUAAAAAAAGAUGUCUGACGCAUUCAGAUGUGAGCAUAGAGUUUAAUACAAACCAUGAAUCUUUAUCAGGUUUUUUUUAUCAUAGUUAAAAAGAAAUGCACACAAUUUGACGGCUAAAGGCUGAUGAUUCUGAAAGUUGAGUAUAUACGUUUUUCCCUAAACAAUUAAAAUAUAUACUGCAUGGUUCUAACCUAAAUGUAUGUAUAUAUAUAUAAGUAUUUUUCAGAGAUAAAGAAAUAUAUACCUAUAGCUGUGAAAUAGACAUAAACAUAAGAUAUUAGUAGGUUACAAUCUGUAAUGAAUAACAAACUUGAAACAGUUUAGAACCAUGAGGAAAUGUCAAUUAUGACUAUAUUGUCAAGCAUAACUUUAACAAUUAGAGAUACAUUUCGAUGUGUAUAUCGAGAUGAACGGAGGGAGAUGA